GCAGGAGGUGAAUCUUCGAGUGCUUCAGAUCCGAAGGAAAUUCCCAGAUGCCAGACUUUAAUUGCACGUGAACUUUACUUGUUUGCUUGUAGUAUAAACACUGCGAGCGCUGCAAAGAGCGCUUCUCGUGUGCCUGGCAAGUGGGUGAGCCUCACAUUGCUUUUGGCUUUGAAGUUUAACUUUGGAACGGCACGGAGUGGGUGGGCUGAGCUCCCGCAGCCUCUGCUCUGCACCAGGGCUUCUGCUUUCAAAACCCCCUCCGCCCCGUAGCAGUCCUCUGUUAGAAAAUGGUGCUCGUUUCCUAAAGCAGAUGGUAUCGUUUUAUCUUGCUGCUCGUGUCUGUUCCCAUUCAUCUCGUGUCUGAGGUCUUCUGUCUGUGCCGGGGGGCUGUAGGUGUCACGACUCAGGGUGAAGCUGUUGCAGCAGGACGCUGCUUGCUGGGUUCUGUGCUUCAGGGAGGCAGGGGAAGGCUGUGCCUGGCACUGCGGGGGGGGUUGGUUGUGUUCAGGCAUCUGUCUGUGCUGCUGGAACAAGCUUUCGGGCCAAAUUGCAUUUAGCUCUAUAAAUAGAGUGGGUAUAUUUGACGUCUUUCCCCACUGUAAUCUUUCUGAAAAUUACAGUGUUAGCAGAAGUGUGUUCAGCUUAAGGCUCCUACACAUGUGUGCAUCCCAAAUGAUUUUUGUUUUGAAUGCUUCCCAUAGCUCUCCUGUCCUGAGCCAUAGUGUGCUUUAUAGGUGACACUGCAGCUCUGUGUUGGGUCACAAAGAGCCGGAGGGCGCAGAUCUGUGCUCUGCUCCUGGAGAACGUGUGCUCUUGGUGUCAGAAUCGUUUAAGGGUCUCUUUGGACUCAAUUCUGUGAUACAGUGUGUGCGUAACGUUCUUUUUGUGUAACAUCUUCCAGCCUGAGAAGUGCCCAUCCAUGUUCAAACAGCCAGCAGUAAUUAUCAGGGGUUUAGAAAACAUCAUUUGCUCAAGUGUUUAUCUGCUAAUGCUGUUAAUUCUGUAGCACGAAGGUGUGGGUUGUGCUGCCUUCCCCUGCCACUUCAGAUUUUCUGUUUUGUCUUUGGAGUUUGGUAGUUAUUUUAACCUCAGCUUUGGUGUUACUCACAGCUGACCUAACAGAGCUGCCUUGUCUGCGUCAGCCCCGCUCUGAUGGGAUGUGUUGGACAGGAGUGCUCCUCGGCGAUGAUUUUAUUUGGAAAACAGAGGUUUGUGUUCAUCUCUGCAAGUGUUCUUAAACAGAGCAGCAGGGAACUGGCCUGCCUGUAGUAAAUAAGGCUCCGAGAGAGAUGUAUUUAUUUAAUGGGAAUGUCGUCUUCCAUGGCAGAAAACAGCAAGUCUCUGUUGAGCGCAUGAAACUUAGAAGGGGGACUGCAGCUCGGGGCUGUUGUGCAGACAACACAGUGCUGCUGUUCUUGCUGACACUGCCUGACUCGGACGUGACGGAGCCCAGGGGCUGUCGUGCAGCUCGAAGAAUUAUGCUUUUAAUUUUUGUCUCGUAGGGCCCUCCCCACAGGCUGGAUCUGCAAACAGCACGGUGGGAGCUGCAGAUGCAAAUAUCAGGGGCCCAGUUUUUUCCAAGGCCAAUUCUGCUGGGAUUGGUAACCAGUCUGAAAGACAGCCCGGAGGCUGCAGCACUCUCUGACCUCUCCGUUUUGGGAGGCGUGAGGAUAUCAGGGAGAUAAUUUGUAAGGAUUGAAAUAAUCUUUACAUAUUGAUAUGCUGAAACGUGCCCAAGAGAGCUGUUGUUUGUUUCUUUAAUGAAUGAGUCAAGUCUUUGAGAGGGAUGUGUGAGGUCAGAGGUAAAAAUAGUGCUACAGAAGAUGCCGCCUUACUCUGAUUUCCAAGUAAUAAAGCAGUGCUGUAGCUCCCACGUUACUGGUGGCUGUUUUGUGGAUGCCAUGUAAGUGUUCUGUGGCAGAACCGACUAAUCCUCCAGCCCUUCUGUUGUGAUCCAGAUUAAAUAAAUGAAACCCAGAAGUAUAAUUUGGAUAUUAAUAUUUUACAGUGCGUUAAAGCCAACGUUGGGAGCAUUGUCUGCUAUUUAAGGGGAAUUCAUCAAAAAAAAAAUUGAAUAUUUAAAAAGAAUCUGUAAGCCGUGGCAGUUGCCUUCAGAAUUAAUUAAAGGCUGCACACUUUUAGUGCAAUCUGUCUGUAACAGCUGUGUUGUGUGCUAACAGCAAGCACAGGAAGCCCAACGCUUCAGUAAAUCCAUAAAGAGCUCAGUAGUGUGGCCUGUCGUGAAACUAUCAGAUCUAAAUGUAGGUUAUCCUCCCUCUUCCUGUCCUCCCAGUAUCGUGAUGGGCUGUACUGAAGAGUGAGAUACAGAGGCAGCGAUGCUUGUGCUUGAGAAAUAAGUGGGGGAAUUGAAUCAAAAGGCACUGCUGGCCUUUCUCCUCUCCAUUUUCAGGUAGGAUGGGAAUGCUUCUAACCACUGGUAGCCACG
rnacentral:lncRNA from 1 species